GGCUAGCUGAGAUCGUAUCAGCUAGGGAAAAAAUGCACCAAACCCAAUAGCCUUGCCUAGCACUUGGGACCGCGAUCGUCAUCCACGAAUUGCUCCGCUUUCGUCGUAAAGCGCUGAGCUAAUUCACUACCGUAAACUGGCUUUUUGAUCUUUCGCAGUAAAGGGCAAUUAAGGCACAACUUUACUCCACGACCGAUCACCGCGCGCUAUAAUCCUUCUAAUUUGGCACUUCGAAGGCAAUCACUCCCGGGAAGACACACAAACUGGUCGAGUAGAGAAAGACACGGGGUACGAGUUUCGGAUCGCGUAUGGAAACUAGUCUGGUUGCGACGGCAGAGUAUAUUGAACUGAUUCGUAUUUCGUUAGUCUAUCUUGAUCUCUAUCUGUUUCGUGUUCUGUGUGCAUGUAUGUGAUAACAAUUUUACGAUCAUCAACGAUCGAUGGUAUUUGCAUGUCUUGUUCAGUAUAUACGCAAUUAGAUCAUAUUCAAUUUGUCUAGGGUAAGAUACAAAUAGUGGACUGUAAUUCAUUUUUAGUUGCAUGACGAAUUCAAAUUUUAUGUAGAAUAACAAAUUCUAAUUUUAAGUAGAAUAAUCAAUUUAAGCUAAGUAGGAAUUCAAAUUUCUAUGCAAUUAUUUAAUUCAGUAACAGAAUUGUUUUUAAGUGUAAUUGAGAAAUAAACUCUUUUUUAAUAAAUAGUCCAUGAGAACUUUGCAGGCACUUUUGCAACUAUAUAAAAACAACUUAAAUUAAUUUUUACUGAUAGUAACUUUAAAUUAUUAUAGAACUAUUGAAAAACAAUCGAAUCAAUUAGUCACUAAUAAAGCUAAUGUUCACUUAUUGUACGAACUAUAUGGGCUUGAUUUCUAUUGUAAAAAAGUAACAAUAUAUCUACUAUGUGUUUUAUUGUGAACAAUAAAACCAGUCAUAUGUUAAUAAUAUUUACCAUGUAAUGAAUGGUAAUUUUUUAUCCGGGUUACUUGUUGUGCCUGAAUAGUCAAGAACAUAAGUUGAACUAAGUCUGUAUUGAGACUGAAGAAGCAAUGUGGACUUCACGAAAACCAUGCUUGGGUCAGCUGUCAAAUAAUAUUUUAUCAAAGGUUGAACAACAGAUGUUUAAUUCUGCAUGUUGGUGUAUGUUUUAAAGCUGGUUACCCAGAUGAAUAAUAUUCUAUUCAACUUGAUAUUCAUCCAUCUUUGUAUUUCAGAUAAAAGAGGUUGAACAAGCCAAACUUCAGACCAAUAUGCAGCUGUCAUUGUGUUCAGCCAUUGACACCAUUUGUAACCGUAGGUUCCAAUUUAGAAGCUUGAUGGCUCCUCCACAAGUAUUCCUUCCCAAAUCCAACCUGCCAGUAAGUUUCUAAAACCCCAAAUCCAACCCUGGAUAAACACACUGACAGCCUUACUGGUGGCGUAAUCACAGUUGUCAGUGAAAUGCGCAGGUCAGCUACUAAUAUAGCACAUGUAGUGAGUACUCACACCUGCUACUUAUUGACAGCGGUUUGAACCAAUGUGGGAGUGGUGCCAAAUGUCACGAAACGAUCGAGUAUCAAACUUCGGUUCGAUUCGGACCUGGGACAGGCAAAUUAGCACAUUCAAGGAGAAGGUUGGGGUCUUUCCAGCUGUGACCGCCAAAGAAGCCGGUAGUGCGCGGCGUGUUAAUUAGAAUAUUAAAUUGGUGUAAAAGUUGUGUAUAUAUAUACUUAGCAUGCGUUGUUUUAGAAAGCUGUAAGCACUCUAUUCAAAGUGAAGGUUAAACUCUAGUGUACGGGUGUUAGCUACCGCGUGUGCACUACAAAGCAUUUCCAUUGUGCCACUAGGAAAAAGAACAAAGAAAAGGUCCGAAUACGGGCCUUUUCUUUUAAGCUCCUUGGAGCUGUAUCAUCCACAGAUUGCGACGAAACGUUGACGGGAGUCGGGUUCGUGCCAGAUCCGUAAAGACGCCACGUCCCAAACGCCUUGGGAUUGGUUGAACUGGACCGACCGAGGUCUUAACGCCACUACGUGCCCCGCCAUUGUUGAGGAAGUCACAACCACCUCGUGGCGACACUUUCGACCAUCAUCUGGACACGCUCCCGGCCGCACCCAGCGAGUGCCGAAACCGUCGGCCGUAUCUAGCAAGUUCUGAAACCGUCGGCCACACCCAUCGAGUGCCGAAAUCGUCGGCCGCACCCAGCAAGUGCCGAAGCCGUCGGCCGUAUCGAGCAAGCUCGAAAACCGUCGGCCACAUAGAGCGAGUGCCGAAACCGUCGGCCGCAUCCAGCGAGCGCCGAAACCGUCGACCGCAUCUAGCGAGCGCCGGAACUGUCGGCUGCAUUCUGCAAGGGCCGGUACUCCCAAGUGCAUCCUGUGAGUGCCGCAACCAUCGGCCAAGGUAACCACCUUCACCUGAGGGGGUUGAAACCGUCGGCCUCCGCGUCGGCGACAUCCGGAGAAACCACCCGCCGUCAAACCGAAGAGACGCCAGGACGCCGUGAGCUCAAACCACCAUCCGAUCGGCCAUGUUCCUCCUUCCGAUGUCCUCGUUCAACAAGCUAGCCAACGUAGAUCUGCAGCGCUGCAAAGAGCAACAACCGCAAGUACCCUCUGUGUAUCGUCUCUCAUUCAUGAAAAUAACCCACUUGGGUGAAUAAAUAUGUAAGCAUGUAACUGAAUGUUUAUGGUAGUUAGAUUCUUUAGAGCGCAUUCCCCAAGUACGAUAUAUACAUCUAUUUUGGAUCUUCUCGUUUUCGAGCCCAUAAAGAGGUAUUCAGGCCUCCUUCUUAGCGGUCCUCCAGAAAGUUGGCCUUCACCUUGGAUUGGCUGUUUUUAAUACGGUUUGAUUCGUUCCUCUCUCAUUUACUGGGAGCUAACCGAAGAAGGUUCCUGUUAAGGUAAGUGCACGAGGGUGUUCCAGGAUUCAAGACGGUGCUAUUUUGAGUAGACGACCCUAUGCUUAGCAUAAUCCUACCCACAAACAGAAUUAUUCCCGUCGGAGCAGCCGAGGGGCUUACACAUUAACCAGCUAUUGUUCAGCUAAUACUCUCACUGUUCAGCAUUCAUUGUUACUUCGGCUGUUCCUGUUGGUAAGGUGUCGACAUAGUCAUAGUUAGUUCUUCUAUGUCUCUUGAUACUUGACAGUGCUCAUGAUACUUUUUCAAAAGUUGACAACUUGUUAUGGCGUUUGGGAAAAACUGUCCCAAGUCGUUAUCAUUUCUUUGUCAAAUUGCCUCGUCUGUAGACCUUAAAAUUUCCUUAUAGGUAUUUCCAAAAAUUAAAAAUCACAAACGUGAAUUUCCAGGCGCCAAACGCAACAAAAAACUUCAAAAAAUGAUUUACUGCUCACCGUAUCAGUAGUAGGAAAGCCUGAGAGAGAUUAGAGGGUAAACAAAUGCUUAGAAGAAACCUUUGUACAACACGUCUCCAGCCCCCGUGCAAAUUUUUAAUCCCCAUUGACAGAUGUUAAGAUCCAGCAACCAACAACGGUGAUGGAUUGAGAUCUCAGCCCUGAAACAUGUGACAUGAACGCCGUCUUGGCGUGUUUCCAGUGGCUGCAACAGUCGUGUGAUAAGGCAAAAUGUCUCGAUAAUCCACUUGGCAGUGUUCUUGAAACAUUCUUGAUAGGAACUUUUAGGUUAAUCUUAUUUCUGUUUAUUUUUGUACAGGGGGCAGUGCUGAAAACAUAAUUUCGUCAUAUCUAAAUUCAAACACCUACAGCUCAUUUU